AUUAAUUCCCACCAACUUCGUCACUGUUCUCUUCACCAUCCCCGGCUACCAUAUAUCCGGUGAACAACAAAGAAGCCAAUAUCUUUAGCUUCGUAACAUUACCGACUGCAUAAACCCUUAAUUCUUGCAAAUUUCACCGUCGUUGUCAUCACAAUCUCCACCUAUCAUCGAUGUCUUCAGAUGUGGAGCUAUUACAAUUUCAUAGCAUUUUGACAAGGUAAGAUUUAUGGGUGUUUUAACAAAUUAUUUACGGGUUUUUUUCACACUCACUGUACACAUUUUGAAAAGGUAAGAUUUUUGGGUUUUGAAGCAAAUUAGGACUUGAUGUUUUGUUGAAGAUAUGGGAUAUGUAUGAGAUUGUUGAAAAGUUGUGAAAUGGGCUUAGUUUGUACUUUGGUAAAAGUAUAAUGUAAUGCCUAUUUCAUAAAAUUGAGCAGGAAUGGCAAUCAUAACGCACUCUCACAAUUAACUUAAAUUACAAUAUUUGGGAAAAGCAGACCCAACUUUGCACAUCUUUUAAUCAAGAGAGUAUGACAAUUAGCAUGCUUUUUCUCAACAGAGGUUGCGUGUUCCUUGCUAUUUAAAAACUACCGUGUUUGGUCAUCCCGGAGUUGGGCAUCACCAUCUUCACAGUUGCGGGUCAAUAUGCUGGGGUUUUCGCGGUAGUAACAAUUGCGACUUCAGAUUCGUGAGGUAGUCGGGGGAAAUGUACAAGAUGAUUUCAGAUCAGGAAGUGAAGGGAUUCGGUGGGGGCGAGUGAAAUCUCAGAAGGGGUGGAUUCGGUGGGGGUAGGAUGAAAUCUUAGUAGUGGUGGGAAAUGAACUAAUGUGGUAUGUUAAUCCAAACAUUUGGUCUCUUUCUUCUUUUCGAUUUUUUGACCAAAUUGGUCAAUCACCAAAAACUCAUUGUACACAUCAAUUUUUAAAUUUCUGUAUGGGUUCUAUCAGCCGUCUUCUAUACAAGAGGCUUUAGUGUAGAGCAAUGCAACUAUGUGUACAGAAGACGGUUGACAGAAGAAUUCCAGAUGAGCUAUCAAUCGUUUUUAGUGAAAAAAAAAAACUAACCAUUUUUUGAACGAGCAAAUGUCAAAUUUUUUUUAUUCCAACCAAAUCCCACUUUCUUCUCGCUGAACCCACAUCGUGAAUCAUUAAUUCCUAUGAACUCCUUCAGGUUUUCUUCGCCAUCUCUACCUGCUAUCUAUCCUUUGAACAAUAAAGAAGUCAAUAUCUCUAUCUUUGUAAUAUUACUAACUGCAUAAACCCUUUAUUCCUACUAAUUUUGCCGUCGCUAUCAUCAUAAUCUCUGGCUGUCGGCGAUGUCUCAAACGUGGAACUAUCACCGAUUUCAUAGCAUUUUAAAAUGGUAAGAUUUGAAGGUGUUUCAAAAAAUUAUUUAUGGGUUUUUUCACACUCACUGUACACUUUAAGAUUUUUGGGUUUUUGAACAAAUUAGGACUUGAUGUUUUGUUGAAGAUAUGGGAUAUGUAUGAGAUUGUUGAGAAGUUGUGAAAUGGACAUAGUUUGUAUUUUGGUAAAAGUAUAAUGCAGUGCCUAUUUCAUAAAAUUGAGCAGGAAUGGCAAUCAAAGUGCACUAUCACAAUUAACUUAAGUUACAAUAUUUGGGAAAAGUCUACCAAACUUUGUACAUCUUUUAAUCAAGAAAGUAUGACAAUUAGCAUGCUUUUUCUCAAUAGAGGUCCUUGGGUUCCUUGUUAUUUGAAGACUACAUUUUUGGCCAUCAUCGGAGUUGGACAUCACCAUCUUCACAGUCGGGGUGUGAUGUUGUUGCGGGUAAGUAUGUUGGGGUUUUCAUCAUAGCCGACAGUUGUGACUUUAGAUUUGGGAGGUAGUCGAUGGAAAUGUAUAAGAUGACUUCAGAUCCAAAAGUGGAGGAUUCGGCAGGGGCGGGUGAAAUCUUUGUAGUGGGGGUAAUGAACUAAUGUGAUAUGUUAAUCCAAACAUUUGGUCUCUUUCCUUUUUUAGAUUUUUUGACCAAAUUGGUCAAUCACCAAAAACUCACUCUACGUAUCAAUUUUUAAAUUUUUGUAUGGGUUCUAUCAGCCGUCUUCUAUACAAGAGGCAUUAGUGCAAUGCAAUGUUGUACCAUGUAUAGAAGACUGUUGACAGAAGAAUACAGAUGAGCUAUCAAGCGUUUUUAGCCACAAAAAAAAAAAAAAAAACCCAUCAAUUUUUUGAAUGAAACACGUCAUUUUUUUUAUUCCAACCGAAAGCCUAUCCCACUUUCCCCUCGUCGAACCUACAUCGUGAACCAUUAAUUAUUGCCAACUUCGUAUUCGUUCUCUUUACCAUCUCCGGCUGCCAUCUAUCUGUUGAACGAAGAAGCCAAUAUCUUUAGCUUCGUAAUAUAACCGACUGCAAAAACCCUUUAUUCCUGCAAAUUUUGUCGUCGCUGUCGUCGAUGUCUUUAGAUGUGAAACUAUCAUCGAUUUCAUAGCAUUUUGACAAGGUAAGAUUUGUGGGUAUUUUAACAUAUUAUUUAUCGAUUUUUUUACACUCACUGUACACAUUUUGAAAAUGUAAG
rnacentral:lncRNA from 1 species